AAGUCAGUAACAAGGUUUCCGUAGGUGAACCUGCGGAGGGAUCAUUAAAAGAGAGAGGGUCUCCAGGCCCAAACCUCCCCCUGCCUAACAAACCACUGCCUUGCAUUUGAUGGGUGACCGUCCCAUUCGAGAGGACCCUUGAAACCCCGUCAUCUGUGGAGUCUGAGCAUGAUACAAUAGUUAAAA
rnacentral:misc_RNA from 1 species